rnacentral:lncRNA from 1 species
UUUGAGUGAAUACUCUCAAAAUUCUUAUUAAUAACUCAAUGAAUAUACAAUGAGCAAAGAGGUCUCUAUUUAUAGUUGAGCCUCACAGUAUAUCAAUAGCUAUAAUUAAAAGCUGAAUACAAUUAGAACUCUAAGCUUACAUAACCAGCUAUAUACAAAUAGAACUCUAAGAUUCCAUAAUUAUAUCUUCUAGAACACUUCCCAUUUCUAUCAGGCUCUUGAGAUGGGCUUUUAAUCUCUCAAAUCACCAGGCCAGUUUGGUUGGGCCAGUUUGGUUGGGCUAAAUGACCUCCCUCGAACACGAUGGAUCGCACCAGUUUGUCAUGGUUGCGAGCACCGACGCGCAACCCAUGAAAUUCUCCCCCCACUUGUUCUAGCGACGCCCUCGUCGCAUCCUCCUUAUGGAACUGGUCAAUCUUCCCUUGGAACUGCCACAAUGCCUCAGCAGGUUCCCAACUUGCUUCGCUAUCAGGAAGUCCCUUCCAUCGAACUAAGUACUCAUGCUGUGGUCGGUGGUACUUUCGUCUAAUUACCCGAUCUGCCUCAAUGUUUUCUACUUCACGAUCAUACGAGACUUUUACCCCCAUCGGUGCUCGUUCGGACUUGCCUCGAUUCGAAUCUUCUUGAUCCUCAUGAAACGGCUUAAGCAUGCUUACAUGGAAGACUGGGUGUACUUUAAGUUUUGGUGGCAACUCCAGCUUGUAGGCCACCUUGCCCACUCUCUUCACAACUUUAAACGGCCCUUCAUACCUUCGCACAAGACCCUUGUGCAAACCAGUAUAUCGUAAAAUCAAGUGUAGUUUAGCAAGGACUGAGUCACCCACUUGAAAUUGUACAUCCCUUCGGUUCUAAUCGGCCCACUUCUUGCUACGCUUACUUGCCUUGUGUAAACAAACUCUAGCCAAGUCAUUCUUCUCUUGCCAAUCUUUUGCGAAUCUAUAGGCUGCCGGAUUUGGUCCUGUGUAAUGGGUCACAACAGCGUUGGGUGUGAGUGGCUGUUGACCCGUCACUAUUUCAAAUGGACUUUGAUUCGUGGUCCCACUUUGCUGCAAGUUAUAUGAAAAUUGGGCCACAUCCAGCAACUUUGGCCAAUCCCUUUGUGCGGCACUCACAUAGUGCCGAAGAUACGUCUCCAACUGUGCAUUUACUCGUUCAGUUUGCCCAUCGGUUUGUGGAUGCAUGCUCGUGGAGAAGUUCAAAUCUGAGCCCAUUGACUUGAACAACUCUGUCCAGAACCGACCAGUAAAUCGACCAUCUCGAUCGCUGAUAAUAGAUAGUGGCACUCCCCAAUAUUUCACCACGUGUCUAAGGAAUAACCGAGCUGCUUCCUCAGUAGGGCACUCUUUGGUCACCAGAAUAAAAGUCGCAUACUUUGAAAACCUGUCCACCACAACAAGAAUACUAGCAAACCCGUCAGACUUAGGUAAACCAAUAAUAAAAUCCAUGGAUAAACUCUCCCAUGGCCUUUCUGGGACUGGCAGGGGUUGAAGCAAGCCGGCUGGAGUCUUUAACUCAACCUUGUCUUGUUGGCACACUAGACAAGUUUUCACAUAGGUUUCCACAUCAGCACCCAUGUGAGGCCAAUAAUAGCGAUCCUCCAAAAGGGCCAAAGUGCGAUGCAUCCCUGGAUGGCCUGCCCAUUUCGAGUCAUGACAUUCCUUCAUGACUUCCUUACGGAGUUUCCCAUAAUGGGGCACAUAGAGGCGGUGUCCAUGAGUGUAUACUAGCUCCCCAUCAAGCCAAAAUCUUCUUGUUUUUCCCUCCUUGGCAAGCUCAAUCAAAUUUUUGGCCGUAGGAUCAUGGGACAAUCCCUCUCGAAUGCGUUCCAACAAAGAGCCAUCAGGUUGACUGAUUGCUGCGAAUUCCAUCUUUCGACUAAGUGCAUCAGCAACAUUGUUGGCACUUCCUGGUUUAUAUUCCAUUGUGAAAUCAAACUCUGCUAGUAAAACCUGCCAACGAGCCUGCUUGGGAGACAACUUUUUCUGGGUUAGAAAGUAACUAUUGGCAACAUUGUCGGUAAGGACCACGAACCUAGAACCCAAUAAAUAAUGUCUCCAUGUGCGCAAGCAGUGUACUACCGCAGUCAUCUCUUUCUCUUGGACCGUAUAUCUACGUUCCGUCUCGUUAAGCUUUCGACUCUCGAAAGCAAUUGGGUGUCCAUCUUGCAUCAGUACUCCCCCAAUAGCAUAAUCUGAUGCAUCUGUACGUACCUCGUAAGGCUUCGUAAAAUCCGGCAAGACAAGUAUGGGCUCCCUCGUCAUUUCUUGCUUCAAUUGGUUGAAGGCCUUCUCACAUUCUGGAUUCCAAUCCCAUACCUUCCCCUUCUUCAACAUGUCCGUCAAGGGAGUGGUAAUUUUGGAGUAGCCUUCGACAAAGCGGCGAUAGUAAUUUGCCAAUCCAAGGAAAGAUCUCAACUCUGUUACCUUGGUUGGAGGCUCCCACUCUGAAAUGGCUCGAAUCUUAUUUUUAUCCAUUCGGAUCUUACCGCCUCCCACAAUGUGGCCUAAGAAUGACACCUCUUGUUGGGCAAAUGAGCAUUUCUCCUCCUUGACGAACAACUUAUUUUCCCUCAAAGUCUGGAACACCUCCCUCAAGUGUCUUACGUGCUCUUCAAGUGACUUGCUAUAGACCACAAUAUCGUCAAGGUAAACAACCACAAAACGAUCAAGAAAGGGUUGAAGUACCUUAUUCAUUAGGGUGCAGAAUGCAGCUGGAGCAUUCGUGAGUCCAAAAGGCAUCACAAGGAACUCAUACGAACCGUACCGUGUCACACAAGCUAUCUUUGGUUCGUCCCCCUCGACUAUCCGAACUUGAUGAUACCCCGAUCUCAAAUCUAACUUGGUAAACCAUCUUGCACUACCAAGCUGGUCGAACAAAUCUGCGAUAAGAGGAAUAGGAUACUUAUUCUUCACGGUGAUCUUGUUUAGAGCUCGAUAAUCGAUGCACAUUCUUAAGGACCCAUCGUGUUUCUUUUGGAACAACACUGGCGCACUAUAUGGGGAUUUAGAUGGUCUAAUGAAUCCCGCAUCCAAAAGUUCCUUCAAUUGUUUCCGCAACUCUUCUAAUUCUGGCGGAGACAUACGAUAGGGGGCCCUUGCUGGCGGCACCACAUUGGAUACUAACUCGAUUUUGUGGUCCACCUCCCUCUUGGGUGGCAAACUUUUUGGCAACUGAGCAGGCAUUACAUCUCGAAAUGAUUCUAGCAAUUGUCCCACAUCUUUCGGGGUCUCACUAACAAACUCAGCGGUCUCUUCGAUCUUUAAGGUGGCUAAAUAUGAGACUUCAUUUCUCCGUACACCUUUAGCAAACUGAAUUGCUGAUAGUGUUUUUCCCUCAAAGCUUCUCUUCCUUGUCACUUUCACCAUGCAUUGAUGUUUCGUAUCUGAAAUCACCAUGUAAUUGCUCGAAGGGGCAAUAAGAGCUUUAACCUGAUCAAGGAAGCUUAGUCCCACCACAAAAUCAUAGUCAUCAAGUGGUAUUACCUUAAUGGAUACCUUCCCUGACCAAUUGCCGAGCUGAAGAUCCACUCCCUUUGCAACCCCCUUGAUUGGAAUACUUUCCGAGUUCACUGUUUUGAUCCGACCCCCUUCAUUAUCUAUCUUGAGGCCUAGUUUACAAGCAGCCUCCUCGACACCCCCUAGUAUCGAUCCAAGGUUGUUAUCCUCCACAUCGGACUCCCCCUUUGCUUCCAUAGCCUUGAGAGCGGCCUUCUUUGGACAGUCCUUGAUCAUAUGUGGACCCUCACAGUGGAAGCACCUUAUAGGCCCACUCUUUCUCUUGUCCCAAGGUUUCUUACCAUCGCCGUUCCUAGUAGGCCUUUCUUUAUCUCCCCCACUAUUACCCUUUAAUCUGGGUUUAGAAGAAUUGGAAUUGUCUUUCCUCCCACCAAAUUCAGCAAGUGAUUCUGCUACUGACAUAGCCUUGGUGAGCUCUUGAACUCCUCGGCGCUGCAACUCUUGCUUCGCCCACGGUUUUAAUCCGUCCAUAAAGGAAAAGAAUGCCUCUUUCUCCCCCAUAUCUGAGAUUUGGAGCAUAAGCUCGCUAAACUCCUGUACAUACUCCCUCAUAGUGCCUUGUUGAGCAAGCCGACGCAACCUUGCCCGAGCCUCAUCCUCAGCAUACUCUGGGUAAAACUGUGCUUUGAACUCACAUCGAAACUCCUCCCAUGUUUCGAUUUCAGACCCACCACGUCUCACAUCAGUGGACCUACGACGCCACCACAACAAAGCAACGUCAGAUAAAUACAUCGCAGCAGUAGUUACCUUAGUGACAUCCUCCGUGAUGCCUUUGGCACAGAAGUAUUACUCGAUUCCCCACAAAAAGUUGUCCACAUCUCUUGCGGACCUUGUUCCCUUAAACUCUUUGGGCUUGGGAACAUCAAUAUUGGGCUUGGGUGCGGCAGCCGCUAACCCACCAUUGCCCAAGGCAACCUUGUAGAUUGUGAGUUCACCCUUGAGCUUCGCAAUCUCUCCCUUCAAGGCCACCACCAUAGCCUCAAUGGCAUCAUCUCUACCAGUCAACUGUUUCAUAUUAUCCGUCACAUACUCUUUAAGCUGCUCCUGCAUGGACUGCAGUCCAUCAUGGAGCCUAUCAUCAACAUCUUCAACCCUCUCCUUGAUAUCCCCCAUUGAACUCUCGAGAGUGACAACGCGAUCCUCUAAAGCUGACAAUAUGUCCCUUGAGCGACUGGCUUUCCUAGCCCUCCCAUGGGUCUCCAUUCCCUCAACUUCUUUUGACAUCUUUCAACGGUGGCUUCGAACCUUAGCUCUGGUACCAACUGUCACGGACUUAGAGUUUUCCCACGCGAUCCGUGCGGCCUUAGGCAGUUUCUCUGCUCAAAACGCCUAAGUCAGCCUAACUUGUAACAAAAAAAGAUUCAGCAGCAAAAACGCCCAAGUCAAAUUCACUCGCAACAAUAAAGGAUUCAAUAGAAUUCCCUUAAGAUUUUCACGAAGAACAACAGAAGAACGAAGUAAGAACGAGCCUUGAAGAUGAACAAAAGCAAGAACACUUGAGAGAAAAGUUUGAGUGAAUACUCUCAAAAUUCUUAUUAAUAACUCAAUGAAUAUACAAUGAGCAAAGAGGUCUCUAUUUAUAGUUGAGCCUCACAGUAUAUCAAUAGCUAUAAUUAAAAGCUGAAUAUAAUUAGAACUCUAAGCUUACAUAACCAGCUAUAUACAAAUAGAACUCUAAGAUUCCAUAAUUAUAUCUUCUAGAACACUUCCCAUUUCUAUCAGGCUCUUAAGAUGGGCUUUUAAUCUCUCAAAUCACCGGGCCAGUUUGGUUGGGCCAGUUUGGUUGGGCUAAAUGACCUCCCUCGAACACGAUGGAUCGCACCAGUUUGUCAUGGUUGCGAGCACCGACGCGCAACCCAUGACA